UCGUUAGCGAUGUAUUGGGGAGCUAGAGAGAUCGCUAGGACGACUUGUUGCACUGCACCGUGAAAACUUGGGGACUCAACACCAAAGAACUGCGGUCGAUACGGGACAGGACUAGAGUGUCGGUAGGGGAGACUGGAAUGUCCUGGUGUGAGCGGUGAAUGCGACAGAUAUGCAGGAGGAACACCGGUGGCGAGGCGGGUCUCUGGGCCGAUACUGACGCUGAGGAGCGAAAGCGUGGGGAGCGAACAGGAUUAGAUACCCUGGUAGUCCACGCUGUAAACGUUGGGCGCUAGGUGUGGGGGGCCUCUCCGGUUCCCUGUGCCGCAGCUAACGCAUUAAGCGCCCGCCUGGGGAGUACGGCCGCAAGGCUAAAACUCAAAGGAAUUGACGGGGGCCCGCACAAGCGGCGGAGCAUGCGGAUUAAUUCGAUGCAACGCGAAGAACCUACCUGGGUUUGACAUGGCCGCAAACCUCAGAGAUGGGGGUCCUUCGGGGCGUAAGUGUCAUG
rnacentral:rRNA from 1 species